rnacentral:ncRNA from 1 species
CUGAGUUGUUAACAUGGGCGCACGGGCCUAUAGCUCAACGGUUAGAGCAGGGGACUCAUCGAAAGGUGCCGCCGUGCAGGAAUGUGCGGCCGGGAACGGGAUGAAUUCAGGGAAACCUCAGCGGCGCGCCAAGCGCGGACGGUGGCAACCCUGAGCCAAGCCGGCGGUACACCGCCGGAAGGUGCAGAGACUACCUGGGGGCUGAAGUGCCCUUGAUAACAGGCUAGAGCGUCCCGCGCCCCACCCAUCUCACGCCACUACUGCGUGUGACGGAGGGCGAAGAGAUAGUCCGCGCCAUCGGGAAACCGAUGG